rnacentral:rRNA from 1 species
UACGGAGGGUGCGAGCGUUGUCCGGAAUCACUGGGCGUAAAGGGCGCGUAGGCGGCGCGGGUAGUCAACGGUGAAAGCUUGGGGCUCAACCCCGAGUCGGCCGUCGAUACUCCCGUGCUCGAGCACUGUAGAGGCAGGUGGAAUUCCGGGUGUAGCGGUGGAAUGCGUAGAGAUCCGGAAGAACACCGGUGGCGAAGGCGGCCUGCUGGGCAGUAGCUGACGCUGAGGCGCGACAGCGUGGGGAGCAAACAGG